GAUGAACGCUGGCGGCGUGCCUAAUACAUGCAAGUCGAGCGAACGGACGAGAAGCUUGCUUCUCUGAUGUUAGCGGCGGACGGGUGAGUAACACGUGGAUAACCUACCUAUAAGACUGGGAUAACUUCGGGAAACCGGAGCUAAUACCGGAUGAUAUUUUGAACCGCAUGGUUCAAAAGUGAAAGACGGUCUUGCUGUCACUUAUAGAUGGAUCCGCGCUGCAUUAGCUAGUUGGUAAGGUAACGGCUUACCAAGGCAACGAUGCAUAGCCGACCUGAGAGGGUGAUCGGCCACACUGGAACUGAGACACGGUCCAGACUCCUACGGGAGGCAGCAGUAGGGAAUCUUCCGCAAUGGGCGAAAGCCUGACGGAGCAACGCCGCGUGAGUGAUGAAGGUCUUCGGAUCGUAAAACUCUGUUAUUAGGGAAGAACAUAUGUGUAAGUAACUGUGCACAUCUUGACGGUACCUAAUCAGAAAGCCACGGCUAACUACGUGCCAGCAGCCGCGGUAAUACGUAGGUGGCAAGCGUUAUCCGGAAUUAUUGGGCGUAAAGCGCGCGUAGGCGGUUUUUUAAGUCUGAUGUGAAAGCCCACGGCUCAGCCGUGGAGGGUCAUUGGAAACUGGAAAACUUGAGUGCAGAAGAGGAAAGUGGAAUUCCAUGUGUAGCGGUGAAAUGCGCAGAGAUAUGGAGGAACACCAGUGGCGAAGGCGACUUUCUGGUCUGUAACUGACGCUGAUGUGCGAAAGCGUGGGGAUCAAACAGGAUUAGAUACCCUGGUAGUCCACGCCGUAAACGAUGAGUGCUAAGUGUUAGGGGGUUUCCGCCCCUUAGUGCUGCAGCUAACGCAUUAAGCACUCCGCCUGGGGAGUACGACCGCAAGGUUGAAACUCAAAGGAAUUGACGGGGACCCGCACAAGCGGUGGAGCAUGUGGUUUAAUUCGAAGCAACGCGAAGAACCUUACCAAAUCUUGACAUCCUUUGACAACUCUAGAGAUAGAGCCUUCCCCUUCGGGGGACAAAGUGACAGGUGGUGCAUGGUUGUCGUCAGCUCGUGUCGUGAGAUGUUGGGUUAAGUCCCGCAACGAGCGCAACCCUUAAGCUUAGUUGCCAUCAUUAAGUUGGGCACUCUAAGUUGACUGCCGGUGACAAACCGGAGGAAGGUGGGGAUGACGUCAAAUCAUCAUGCCCCUUAUGAUUUGGGCUACACACGUGCUACAAUGGACAAUACAAAGGGCAGCGAAACCGCGAGGUCAAGCAAAUCCCAUAAAGUUGUUCUCAGUUCGGAUUGUAGUCUGCAACUCGACUACAUGAAGCUGGAAUCGCUAGUAAUCGUAGAUCAGCAUGCUACGGUGAAUACGUUCCCGGGUCU
rnacentral:rRNA from 1 species